rnacentral:rRNA from 1 species
CUUCCAUGCUCGUCGACGGUACAGGUCUUCGGAUGCUGACGAGUGGCGAACGGGUGAGUAAUACAUCGGAACGUGCCCGAUCGUGGGGGAUAACGGAGCGAAAGCUUUGCUAAUACCGCAUACGAUCUACGGAUGAAAGCAGGGGACCGCAAGGCCUUGCGCGGACGGAGCGGCCGAUGGCAGAUUAGGUAGUUGGUGGGAUAAAAGCUUACCAAGCCGACGAUCUGUAGCUGGUCUGAGAGGACGACCAGCCACACUGGGACUGAGACACGGCCCAGACUCCUACGGGAGGCAGCAGUGGGGAAUUUUGGACAAUGGGCGAAAGCCUGAUCCAGCCAUGCCGCGUGCAGGAUGAAGGCCUUCGGGUUGUAAACUGCUUUUGUACGGAACGAAAAGACUCCUUCUAAUAAAGGGGGUYCAUGACGGUACCGUAAGAAUAASCCCGGCUAACUACGUGCCACAGCCGCGGUAAUACGUAGGGUGCAAGCGUUAUUCGGAAUU